rnacentral:rRNA from 1 species
AACGAGCGCUGGCGGCACGUUUUAAGCAUGCAAGUCGAAUGGCAGUGGGGGCAACCCCAUGAGAAUGGCGAACGGGUGAGUAACACGUAGGUGAUCUGCCUGACGGACGGGGAUAGCUUGUGGAAACACAGGGUAAUACCGAAUGAGCUGACGAGACUUUGGUUUUGUUAGUAAAGGUGCUACGGCACCGCCGACAGAGGAGCCUGCGGCUGAUUAGCUAGUUGGUGGGGUAAAGGCCUACCAAGGCGACGAUCAGUAGCCGGCCUGAGAGGGUGUACGGCCAAACUGGAACUGAGAGACGGUCCAGACGCCUACGGGGGCAGCAGCUAAGAAUCUCCCGCAAUGGGCGAAAGCCUGACGGAGCGAUGCCGCGUGAUCGAUGAAGGUCGAGAGAUUGGAAAGAUCUUUUCUACAUGAGGAAUAAGUCUGGGAGGGAAUGCCUGGAUGAUGACGUUAGUGUAGGAAUAAGCCCCGGCUAAUUACGUGCCAGCAGCCGCCGUAA